rnacentral:rRNA from 1 species
GACGAACGCUGGCGGCGUGCUUAACACAUGCAAGUCGAACGCUGAAGCUCAGCUUUUGUUGGGUGGAUGAGUGGCGAACGGGUGAGUAACACGUGAGUAACCUGCCCCCUUCUUUGGGAUAACGCCCGGAAACGGGUGCUAAUACUGGAUAUUCACUGGUCUUCGCAUGGGGGUUGGUGGAAAGGGUUUUUCUGGUGGGGGAUGGGCUCGCGGCCUAUCAGCUUGUUGGUGGGGUGAUGGCCUACCAAGGCUUUGACGGUAGCCGGCCUGAGAGGGUGACCGGUCACAUUGGGACUGAGAUACGGCCCAGACUCCUACGGGAGGCAGCAGUGGGGAAUAUUGCACAAUGGGCGCAAGCCUGAUGCAGCGACGCCGCGUGAGGGAUGGAGGCCUUCGGGUUGUGAACCUCUUUCGCUCAUGGUCAAGCCGCAACAAUGGUUGUGGUGAGGGUAGUGGGUAAAGAAGCGCCGGCUAACUACGUG